UGAGGAAUAUUGGACAAUGGGCGCAAGCCUGAUCCAGCCAUGCCGCGUGCAGGAAGAAGCAUCUAUGGUGUGUAAACUGCCUUUGUACGGGAAGAAACACUCCCUCGUGAAGGAGCUUGACGGUACCGUAAGAAUAUGGAUCGGCUAACUCCGUGCCAGCAGCCGCGGCAAUACGGAGGAUCCAAGCGUUAUCCGGAAUCAUUGGGUUUAAAGGGUCCGUAGGCGGUUUAGUAAGUCAAUGGUGAAAGCCCAUCGCUCAACGAUGGAACGGCCAUUGAUACUGCUAGACUUGAAUUAUUAGGAAGUAACUAGAAUAUGUAGUGUAGCGGUGAAAUGCUUAGAGAUUACGUGGAAUACCAAAUGCGAAGGCAGGUUAAUACUAAUGGAUUGACGCUGAUGGACGAAAGCGUGGGGAGCGAACA
rnacentral:rRNA from 1 species